CAGAGUUGCAAAAACUCCCACAAACCAUUUCGACGAAAACGUUAUCCAGUUGCCGUCGUGUGCUUCGGCGGGCUUCAGCCCGACCCGGCCGGGGCACGCAUACAGACUCUGCAGUAUCUACGUGCAUCUCUGAGUAUGCUUUAUUUAAAUAAGUCA
rnacentral:misc_RNA from 1 species